rnacentral:rRNA from 1 species
GCUAUACUUAGCCCCAAACACAAUUAAAUAUAACUAUAAUAUAGAAUUAAAUUAAAACAUUCAUCACAAAUAAUAGUAUAGGAGAUAGAAAAUCUUAUUAGCGCUAUAGAGAAAGUACCGUAAGGGAACAAUGAAAGAAUAUACUAAAGCAAUAAACAGCAAAGAUUAUCCCUUGUACCUUUUGCAUAAUGAUCUAACUAGAAAUAUACUAGCAAAGAGAACUUAAGUUAGUACCCCCGAAACCAGACGAGCUAUUUACAAGCAGCUUUACAGAGCAAACUCUUCUAUGUGGCAAAAUAGUGAGAAGACUUAUAAAUAGGGGUGAAAAGCCUAUCGAGCCUGGUGAUAGCUGGUUGUCCAAUAAAGAAUUUCAGUUCAAACUUAAGCCUGCCCACAAAAAUAUAAAUUUUACUGUAGACUUAAAAUAUAGUCUAAAGGGGGACAGCCCUUUAGAUAUAGGUUAAACCUUUACUAGAGAGUAAAUAUAUAAACACACCAUAGUAGGCCUAAAAGCAGCCAUCAAUAAAGAAAGCGUUAAAGCUCAACAAUUUAAACAUCUUAAUCCCUAUAACUAAUAUCAACUCCUAGUAUUAAAAUUGGACUAUUCUAUAAUUAUAUAGAAGACUUACUGUUAGUAUGAGUAACAAGAAUUCAAUUCUCCUAGCACAAAUGUAUAUCAGACCGAAUAAUCACUGAUAGUUAACGAGUAUAAAGUAAAUCAAUAAACAAGACCUUUAUAUUCUCACGUUAAUCCAACACAGGAGUGCUCCAAGGAAAGAUUAAAAGGAGUAAAAGGAACUAGGCAAACACAAACCCCGCCUGUUUACCAAAAACAUCACCUCUAGCAUCUAUAGUAUUAGAGGCACUGCCUGCCCAGUGACAUACGUUCAACGGCCGCGGUAUCCUGACCGUGCAAAGGUAGCAUAAUCACUUGUUCUCUAAAUAAGGACCUGUAUGAAUGGUCACACGAGGGUUUUACUGUCUCUUUCUCCCAAUCAGUGAAAUUGACUUCCCCGUGAAGAGGCGGGGAUAUAAUAAUAAGACGAGAAGACCCUAUGGAGCUUUAAUUAAUUAGCCUAAAACAAAUAAAUACAAACCAAAAGGGAUAAAUAAUAUUAUUACUAGGCUAACAAUUUAGGUUGGGGUGACCUCGGAGCAUAAAAUACCCUCCGAGUACUUCUAAACUUAGACUUACCAGUCAAAGUACAAUUACUAAACUGAUCCAUAAUCAAAUGAUCAACGGAAUAAGUUACCCUAGGGAUAACAGCGCAAUCCUAUUAAAGAGUUCCUAUCGACAAUAGGGUUUACGACCUCGAUGUUGGAUCAGGACAUCCCGAUGGUGCAACAGCUAUCAAUGGUUCGUUUGUUCAACGAUUAAAGUCCUACGUGAUCUGAGUUCAGACCGGAGUAAUCCAGGUCGGUUUCUAUCUAUCUUAUGUCCCUCCCAGUACGAAAGGACAAGAGAGACAGGGCCCCCUUAAAAUAAGCGCCCUCUAACAAACCAGAUGACCUACUCUUAAUCUGAUAUGUAAUAAAAUAAAUUGCCCAAGACAAGGGCCUCA